UACGAAGGGGGCUAGCGUUGCUCGGAAUCACUGGGCGUAAAGCGCACGUAGGCGGAUUGCUAAGUCAGGGGUGAAAUCCUGGAGCUCAACUCCAGAACUGCCUUUGAUACUGGCGAUCUUGAGUCCGGGAGAGGUGAGUGGAACUGCGAGUGUAGAGGUGAAAUUCGUAGAUAUUCGCAAGAACACCAGUGGCGAAGGCGCUCACUGGCCCGGUACUGACGCUGAGGUGCGAAAGCGUGGGGAG
rnacentral:rRNA from 1 species